rnacentral:rRNA from 1 species
AACGAACGCUGGCGGCAGGCCUAACACAUGCAAGUCGAACGAAGCCUUCGGGCUUAGUGGCGGACGGGUGAGUAACACGUGGGAACGUACCUUUUGGUUCGGAAUAACGCAGAGAAAUUUGCGCUAAUACCGAAUGAGCCCUUCGGGGGAAAGAUUUAUCGCCGAAAGAUCGGCCCGCGUUGGAUUAGGUAGUUGGUGUGGUAAAGGCGCACCAAGCCUACGAUCCAUAGCUGGUCUGAGAGAAUGAUCAGCCACACUGGGACUGAGACACGGCCCAGACUCCUACGGGAGGCAGCAGUGGGGAAUCUUGCGCAAUGGGCGAAAGCCUGACGCAGCCAUGCCGCGUGAAUGAUGAAGGUCUUAGGAUUGUAAAAUUCUUUCACCGGGGACGAUAAUGACGGUACCCGGAGAAGAAGCCCCGGCUAACUUCGUGCCAGCCGCCGCGGUAAUAC